rnacentral:rRNA from 1 species
AACAAGGAUUCCCCUAGUAGCGGCGAGCGAAGCGGGAAAAGCUCAAAUUUGUAAUCUGGCGUCUACGACGUCCGAGUUGUAAUCUCGAGAAGUGUUUUCCGUGAUAGACCGCAUACAAGUCUCUUGGAACAGAGCGUCAUAGUGGUGAGAACCCAGUACACGAUGCGGAUGCCUAUUACUUUGUGAUACACUUUCGAAGAGUCGAGUUGUUUGGGAAUGCAGCUCAAAUUGGGUGGUAAAUUCCAUCUAAAGCUAAAUAUUGGCGAGAGACCGAUAGCGAACAAGUACCGUGAGGGAAAGAUGAAAAGCACUUUGGAAAGAGAGUUAACAGUACGUGAAAUUGUUGGAAGGGAAACACAUGCAGCCAGACUUGCUAUUCGGGGCAACUCGAUUGGCAGGCCCGCAUCAGUUUUUCGGGGCGGAAAAGCAUAGAGAGAAGGUAGCAAUUUCGGUUGUGUUAUAGCUCUUUAUUGGAUUCGCCCUGGGGGACUGAGGAACGCAGCGUGCUUUUAGCAUAAGCUUCGGCUUAUCCACGCUUAGGAUGCGGGUGUAAUGGCUGUAUAUGACCCG